GAGUUUGAUCCUGGCUCAGAGUGAACGCUGGCGGCAGGCCUAACACAUGCAAGUCGAACGGCAGCACAGCCUCGCAAGAGGUGGGUGGCGAGUGGCGGACGGGUGAGGAAUACAUCGGAAUCUACCUUGUCGUGGGGGAUAACGUAGGGAAACUUACGCUAAUACCGCAUACGACCUACGGGUGAAAGCGGCGGACCGCAAGGCGUCGCGCGAUUGGAUGAGCCGAUGUCCGAUUAGCUAGUUGGCGGGGUAAAGGCCCACCAAGGCGACGAUCGGUAGCUGGUCUGAGAGGAUGAUCAGCCACACUGGAACUGAGACACGGUCCAGACUCCUACGGGAGGCAGCAGUGGGGAAUAUUGGACAAUGGGCGCAAGCCUGAUCCAGCCAUGCCGCGUGUGUGAAGAAAGGCCUCGUUG
rnacentral:rRNA from 1 species